UACAGAGGUCUCAAGCGUUGUUCGGAUUCAUUGGGCGUAAAGGGUGCGUAGGUGGCGCGUUAAGUCAGGUGUGAAAUUUCGGAGCUUAACCCCGAAACUGCAUUUGAUACUGGCGUGCUUGAGGACUGGAGAGGAGACUGGAAUUCAUGGUGUAGCAGUGAAAUGCGUAGAUAUCGUAAGGAAGACCAGUGGCGAAGGCGGGUCUCUGGACAGUUCCUGACGCUGAGGCACGAAGGUCAGGGGAGCAAACCGGG
rnacentral:rRNA from 1 species